rnacentral:RNase_P_RNA from 1 species
CGAGUUCGCCGGGCGACCGCGGUAGCCAGAUUCCCCACGGUAUCUGCUAUCGAGGAAAGUCCGGACUCCACAGGGCAGGAUGCUGGGUAACGCCCAGGCGGGGUGACCCGACGGAAAGUGCAACAGAGAGCAGACCGCCGAUGGCUUCGACCAGGUGUCGGAUGCACAGGCAAGGGUGAAACGGUGGAGUAAGAGCCCACCAGCGAGCCGGGUGACCGGCCGGCUGGCAAACCCCAUCCGGAGCAAGGCCGAGCAGGGACGCCGGUGGCCCGCCGAUCAAGUCCCGGGUAGGUCGCACGAGGUGGCGGGUAACCGUCCCCCCAGAUGGAUGGUCGCCUCGGAGCCCUAUGGCUCCGAACAGAAUCCGGCUUAUAGGCGGGCUCGCAAA